UACGGGGGGGGCAAGCGUUGUUCGGAAUUACUGGGCGUAAAGGGCUCGUAGGUGGCCAACUAAGUCAGACGUGAAAUCCCUCGGCUUAACCGGGGAACUGCGUCUGAUACUGGAUGGCUUGAGUUCGGGAGAGGGAUGCGGAAUUCCAGGUGUAGCGGUGAAAUGCGUAGAUAUCUGGAGGAAUACCGGUGGCGAAGGCGGGUCUCUGGGCCGUAACUGACGCUGAGGAGCGAAAGCAUGGGGAGCGAACAGG
rnacentral:rRNA from 1 species